AAUCAACGCUGGCGGCGUGCCUAACACAUGCAAGUCGAACGGGAAAGUGGAGCAAUCCAUGAGUAUAGUGGCGACCGGGUGAGUAACACGUGACUACCUGCCCUUGAGUGGGGGAUAACCUCGGGAAACCGAGGCUAAUACCGCAUAAAAUCGAAAGAUCAAAGGAGCAAUCCGCUUUUGGAGGGGGUCGCGGCUGAUUAGCUAGUUGGUGAGGUAAUGGCUCACCAAGGCGAAGAUCGGUAUCCGGCCUGAGAGGGCGCACGGACACACUGGAACUGAAACACGGUCCAGACUCCUACGGGAGGCAGCAGUGGGGAAUUUUGCGCAAUGGGGGAAACCCUGACGCAGCAACGCCGCGUGGAGGAUGAAGCCCCUUGGGGUGUAAACUCCUUUCGACCGGGAAAAUUAU
rnacentral:rRNA from 1 species